AAGCACAGAAAUGUGAUGGAACGAGAACGGGCUUCAACGUGUGACAUUCCAACAUCACACACCAUCUCUUCUGCCCUGAAAGACUGCGAUGACAGAUGGAGCCUGAAGUCAGUCAUGGACUAUGCAAACUCAGUGGACAUUCUAUAUAU